rnacentral:misc_RNA from 1 species
GAUGAAGAACGUAGCGAAAUGCGAUAAGUAAUGUGAAUUGCAGAAUUCAGUGAAUCAUCGAAUCUUUGAACGCACAUUGCGCCCGCCAGUAUUCUGGCGGGCAUGCCUGUCUGAGCGUCAUUUCAACCCUCAUGCCCCUAGGGCGUGGUGUUGGGGAUCGGCCAAAGCCCGCGAGGGACGGCCGGCCCCUAAAUCUAGUGGCGGACCCGUCGUGGCCUCCUCUGCGAAGUAGUGAUAUUCCGCAUCGGAGAGCGACGAGCCCCUGCCGUUAAACCCCCAACUUUCCAAGGUUGACCUCAGAUCAGGUAGGAAUACCCGCUGAACUUACGCAUAUCAAUAAGCGGAGA